CAUCUUCCUUUUACAACUAUGGAGAGGCUGUUUCCCUAAGCUCGAGUGACAUCGUCAAGGGAAAUAGAAAAGAAGGUGGUCAGGUUAUGGAUAUUCUGCUUCUACCCUGAACAUUCUGGGGCCUCACACUCAUGUACAGCUCCACUCCCAUAUGCUUUUGUGACCUUGAGCUGAGAGGAGUUAUAGCAGCGACUGAAGGAGCAAGAAGGAUUCUCAGAUAAACAUUAGCUGCCCACAGAAAAGUUCCAGCACUGCUCAGUGCCUUAUUCUACAGCCAAAUUCCUUUCACGCCCAGCAUAAACAUUAAUGGAAUCUAUAAGUCAGAAAAUGUUUAGUAACCAAUCGUUUCAAGUCAAUUCUCAUAUUAUCUAUCUUCCUUCAUGUCUUUGUGACCUGAUUCUUUUGGUUUUUUUCCCCUUUUUGUCUCACACAAAGACAUAGCUUUCAUUAUUCCCAUUAUGUAAUAAAACUUUAUCACUAAUCUGAUGACAAUCUCCUAAUUAGAAUACCAGUGGAGCGCAGAUUUAGAUGAGAGGAACUGCAGCAUUCUAUGCACUGUUUAUUCUGUAAUAGCCAUGUGGUUGGGUUGAAAUGUUACAGGUUGUUCAGUAAGAACUUUCCAUCUCUAAUUAAUUUUGUUAUCUGUGCUUGAUGUUACAGAAUGUUCUGGAGUCUUCACCCUUAGCGAGUUCACCUUAUACUCAGCAUGAGCAUGGUUUCCAAUUUGGAGAUCACAGAAAAGCAUUAUUACUUCAAGGUUGCCUAAAUUAUACCUCUUUCUGCUACAUCAAUUCUGGGCAAUUUCCUUCACCUUGAACUUAUUUCUCAUUUGGUUAUUCUUCCCCUCUCUUAUCUUACUAUUGCGAAACUUCCCUUUCUUUUCUCCAAAUGAUACCAUAUCUACUCUAGUUUAUACAAGAAAGGUUCUUUCUCCCCACUGUGUAGAUUCAGUAAAGUUAUAUAGAAGUCAUGAGUAUUCUCCUAUUAUUUGAAAUUUGUUCUUGCCAUCACUCGAUACAUACAAUAUAUUCUUUAUCAUCUCCUCCCCAACCAAAUCGCAAAACCUGGGUCACUUUUAUUUUUCCACCAUUGAUCUAAGAGGCUGGCAAACAUUGGCUCUCUUCUCUUCCUUGAGAAAGAUGUUCUUGCGUGGUAAAACUAGCACUAUCGAGAGACUGAGGAGAAUAUUUACAUCUCAAAGGGGCAAAGAAAGAAUUUACAAUUGCAAGUUUUCUAAAGUGAACCCUUUAGGGAAAAGGAAGUUAGGGGCCUAUGGUCAGGAAGAAACCUGUCUAACAUUUAGUCAAGGUGAGGGGAACAUGAAGAUCAUCUCGACCAAGAGUUUUUGUGCAGGAAGAACAUGGCCUCUCUGUUUGCUACGCCCCAGGGGCUGGCCCCGUGGCCGAGUGGUUAAGUUCGCGCGCUCCGCUGCAGGCGGCCCAGUGUUUCGUUGGUUCGAAUCCUGGGCGCGGACAUGGCACUGCUCAUCAAACCACGCUGAGGCAGCGUCCCACAUGCCACAACUAGAAGGACCCACAACGAAGAAUAUACAACUAUGUACCGGGGGGCUUUGGGGAGAAAAAGGAAAAAAUAAAAAAAUCUUUAAAAAAAAAAAAAUUAAAUUCUCUGUAUUGUUUGCUAUGGGUUUUGAGCAGGACAAGAUACAUGAAUUUUACUUAGGGACAAGCUGAAAUGUCACCCUUUUGUCAACUGAUGGGAACAUUCUCAAUCCUUUCUUUCCUAGCAAGAACAUGUGUCAUAAUCAAGUUCCAAGUACUCACUCUUAGUACUAGAAUGUUCAUAACUCUAAUAGAAUGUGAUAGGCUGAAAAAUAAACCCCCAAAAGAUAUCCAUGUCAAAUCUCUGGAACUUGUGAAUAUUAACUUAUUUGGGAAAAGGGUCUUUGAAGAGGUGUUUAAGUUAUAGAUCUUGAGAUGAGGAGAUCCAAGAUUAUCCAGGCGAGUCUUAAAUGCUAUCAUGUGUCCUUAUAAAAGAUCAACAGAAAGAGAUUUGACACACACAGAAGACCAUGAGGUAAUGUGGUCAUGGAUGCAGAGAAUGGAGUGAUGGGCCACAAGUCAAGAAAUGCCAGGAGCCACCAGAAACUGGAAGAAAUAAGGAACAGGCUGACCACAGGCGAGAAACAUACCUACAACGUAUCCAUUACAGCUGACGGAAGAAUGGAACAAUAUGCUGCCUGGAGCCUAUCACUCCUGGAGACCCACAUCCUUGGACCCCUCCUCAUGCCCAUUUUCCCUAUUAACUACCUCAAGAUUCUGUAAUUCUUGAGGGUGGGUUUUUUUGAGACAUUAGUCUGCCAUCUCCCCAAUUAUGCUGGCUAAUUGAAUUAAGGCCUCCUUUUUUGACCCCUAACUUGUGAUUCAUUGGCUCAGAUCACGGUGAGCAGAGUGAGCUCAGUGCUUGGUAUCAAGAUCAGGGGCUAUAUUAGUGAACUCCUACUCUAGCUUUUCCUUUCACAUUCUUUCGUUAAUUUAUUUUACACAAGUUUUUUGAGAGUCAUUAUUUUGCAAACUCUUGAUGCUAGAAUACAAGGAAUCAGAGACUAGUAUUUGGAGUUCUUCCUCUCCCGAAAAAGAUAUAAGCAAUAUUUAAAAUUACAAGAGUACAGUUUAGUAGAUAACAGAUAUUAAACUAACUGUAUUUUGAACCUUUUAAGAGAAAAUACUUAUUAUGUACAAAUUGCUAGCUUAUAAGGUAAAAAAUGAGGAUUAAAUUAACUCUGCUUUUACUCUUUAAGAUAAAAAGUUUUAAAAAGUAAUAAGGUCGAAGACUUUUUAUCUUCACUUCAUUGUCUGUAAAUGCUGCUUCUUCAGUCCUUGUAAUCAUUUCUUAUGAGCUUCUGAACAUCUGAAAUAUAAAGGCAGAAUCAGAAGUGGAUAGCAGACCCUUGGUACUGUGGUAAAAAAGAACCACAGCUGAUAGCUGCAAGGCAAAUGAUGCAAUUAGAAAAGGUUGAUGAGGAUAGUUUACCCUUUUUGUUUCUGCUACCAAUUAUAAAUCCAUGUGGGGUGGCAGGAGAUUUUCUCAUCGAUGGUAUCUCUUGAUUUUGGAUAAGUUAAUGGAACAAUUUGGGCCCCACAGUUCAAUAAGCAACAAUUUGUUAAAUCUGAGAUUCUCCAUCUCUCUUUUCAUAGCUAAUUUUUUAGAGUUGAUUUCUUAGUUUGGAUUUGUUAUUUUCCUCUUACUUAUUUCCCCUAAAGUAUUUAGAAAAAUUGAAAAUUCCUUUUGAUGGUGAUUAAAAAUAAUAAAGUAAUUUCUUAGGAAUAAGGGCAAUCUUAAUUGGGAAAUUUUAUUCCUGAAGAGGACGUUCUCAGUGGUCCAGAGGAGAGUUAUUCUCCUUGUUCCUUGAGCAGCAGAGGGCAAAUGUAUUUUAUGUAUCUUUACCAUCCAAAUGGUGUGGUUUUUGAUAAUUUUAAGUAUUGUAGACCCCAAACACCUAAUGGUAGUAAUAAUUUGCUUUUCUAUAAUUUAAUAAGGAGAAUUAGGAAAUGAAGAGAAAAUGAAGCUGGAUAAAAUACUUUCUUAAUGUACUCAAUGUGUAAGUUUUUGCUUUAAUUUCCACUAUUUAGGUUUUUCUUAUUAGAUCCACAAAAUCUCUAGUCCAGAAACAUUGUAAUAUGCAAUCUUCAGUGUUGAACUUUGUGUUACAGGAGGGAAAAGUACUAAUCUCAGAAGACAAAUAAAAACUAUUUUCAUACAACUUUUAUGGCAUUUAUCCUAUUGAUUUGUCUUAUAUUUCUUUUCAAGUCUUGUCAAAACUAAUUUGAGUUUCUCAAGGCAGUGACUAUAUCUUUUUAUCUGUUUCCUAAAUAUCUGGGAUAACUAUGAGGUGAUCAUAGAAUGGUCAUUAAUGAAUCCAAGCAUUCCUAAAUUAUUUAGUUGUCCAUGAUUUUAAGUUCUUUAUAUCUGCGAAACAAAAACAAUUUAAAUGAUGUAUAUUCUCAUAUCCAAAUAAUAAAUGUCAAAAGGAAUAGUCCAGUUCUGCUUUGUGAUGUAUUAAGUAGAAUGUGUUUAACAUGUUGGACAUCCAGAGAGAAAGAUGGAAAUGAAGCUUACCUGUUCAAAAAAGGCAUGGUUUCCACGUUCUCCGUGGUCACAAAGUAUCCGAAGUGAAUCAGCUGUAGUUUUUCAUUUGGGCGUUCUUUUCUUUAGAUUUAAUGAACAAAAUAUCCGAAAUAAAUUUCUAAUUGACUUCAGUACUUGGAAGAAAGGAACAAUAUUGCAUUUUUGUCAUAUCUUUGGAAAAGAAUAGAAUAGAAAAUCAAUGGCAGACUAUUCUUAUGUUUGUUCGCAAGAGUUCUGAUAACAAAGAAGGUUACCCAAUAAAUUGCUUUUAACAGAAUUUGAAUUUUAGCUUCAUUGACUCAACUAGCACUUAUUCUCUUUCACAACCAUCAAAUAUCCAAUCUUCUUCACAGUUAUACUACAGCAACUAGAGAAGUAAUGGGUACAUCAUAGGUAUUUAAUUUUUGUUGACUUACUCUGAUAUAGAGACAGUCUCACAUGUCUUACUCUAUGUUAGAUAAUGGCGAAAUUCUCAAUCAUGUGUUUCCCAGCAAGCUCUUAGCUUGCAAUAGAAGUCCUUCAUCUUCAAUUCAUAUUAUUAUUAUUAUUGUUUUUUGCUUGUGAAGAUUCACCCUGAGCUAACAUCAGUUACCCAUCUUCCUCUUUUUUUGCUUGAGGAAGAUUAGCUCUGAACUAACAUCUGUGCCAAUCGCUACCUUGUAUGUGGGUCACCACCACGGCAUGGCUAAUAAGUGGUGGAGGUCUGUACCCGGUAUCCAAAACUGUGAACCUGGAUUGCUAAAGUAGAGUGUGCCAAACUUAACCACUAUGGCACAGGACUGGCCCCUCCAUUCAUAUUUUAUAGAAUGAUGAAAUUGGUUGUAGAAGCAAAUAAUUCUAGGACAUAUUUAUUACUUUGUUCAGGGAGCUUUGCCAAGAUUCUAAAUAUCUGUACAUGUUUUAAUAGCAAACACUUUUAUUGCUGUAGAAUAAGGAUAAUUAAUGUUCACUGAGACUCUUAUAUCCAGGUUCUUAUUGCCCUCUUUGGAUGUAGUUAAAGAGAAUCAAUGGACUGUUGCUCCUAACAUCUGUUUGUGGGAUCUGGUGAACAAUUUCAGCUGCUCUUUUCCGAUAUCUACUAUAACAGACCGUGGAAAACUUGUGGAGGAGCUCAGAAAUAACUCCGAGCUACAUAGAAAAAAAAAGAGAAAUGCAAUCAGACUUUAUAACAUGGGAUGUUUAUGCAGUGGCAUUCAUAAAUCCUACUUGAGGAGAAGGACCUUUCUUCAAGGUACAACUAAGCUCGAUAAGGUAAUUUCCACACUUAUUGAUAUGCUGUCAUUAUUUAUGUCCAUGUAUAUUUUAAAUAAAAAUGUUAUGAAUUAUGAACUCACCUGACCACUCUGGAUCUCAAUACUUUUGUGUAUAAAACUAAAUAUUCUCAAUGUCAAUUUCAGUCUGAAAUUCUGUUUGGAUUUCUUAUUACGUUGAGAUUCAUUUUUUAGAUUAGGGACAUUAAAUAGUAAAUGUGUUCUACAAAACACAUACUUCUGGAAUAUCAUGUGAAUUGCUGCAGGAUUAUAUUCAACCUUAGUGACUUAGCAAUUUAUACCCAUCAUCUUGUAACUGUUAAAGUUUCUUACAGAAACGGACCUUAAGAUGAAUCAGCAGAUGGCAUUUUUUGUGUGACAAUGCACCAGCUUUUUUUAGUCUAACCUCUCUUUGAACAUGGCAAUAUUCAGCCAAGCAUAGAAAUGUUCUUACUCUAAUAAGCCUCAGUAAUCAAGACUAUGCAGAAGAGUUCUAUAAAUUAAAAGAUUCUGUACUUCAUUUUUUCAACAAUACCUGAGUUAAGACAGAUGAUCUGUGGACAGUUUUCUCCUAAGAAAUUAUUUACAAUGAAGAUCCUUCUCUUUUUCUCUAUUUUAUUCUUCUUUGGUGUCUUCAUUCCAGCAGUGAGCUCUAAUCAACGAACUGUUAACAAUCCUAUGUCAUCAUCAAAGGUACCAUGUAUACGGAAGUUUAAGAUUCUAUCCUCAAAGAUACAUAGCUCUACAACAUUUGAAAAGGCACAAUAUGAUACAGUGGAAACCAGAACAGGUAAAAAAAAAAAAAGUGGAAUGAUAUCUUGCACCUUUUAAUCACUAUCUGUCAAAUGAAAUGAGGAAAUAUCCUAAGUAUGUUCUCUAUCCCAGUCUCUAUCUACUUAGCUCUUCUUUCACCUCCUACUUUUAUGAAGACUGAAUUUCAUGUUGAAAAUGAGAAAGAAAUCUUUAUUUGAAAGUUAUACGGUCUUAUUUUUGAUGAAACUCUAUCUAGGCAAACAUCCUAUUUCCUAGAGGGAAAAUUCUCCAGUCAUUGCUUGCAGCAUCCUUAUUU
rnacentral:lncRNA from 1 species